CCUGAUGCAGCAACGCCGCGUGAGGGACGAAGGCCUUCGGGUUGUAAACCUCUUUUAGUAGGGAAGAAGCGAAAGUGACGGUACCUGCAGAAAAAGCACCGGCUAACUACGUGCCAGCAGCCGCGGUAAUACGUAGGGUGCAAGCGUUGUCCGGAAUUAUUGGGCGUAAAGAGCUCGUAGGCGGUUUGUCGCGUCUGCUGUGAAAACUGGAGGCUCAACCUCCAGCCUGCAGUGGGUACGGGCAGACUAGAGUGCGGUAGGGGAGAUUGGAAUUCCUGGUGUAGCGGUGGAAUGCGCAGAUAUCAGGAGGAACACCGAUGGCGAAGGCAGAUCUCUGGGCCGUAACUGACGCUGAGGAGCGAAAGCAUGGGGAGCGAACAGGAUUAGAUACCCUGGUAGUCCAUGCCGUAAACGUUGGGAACUAGAUGUAGGGGCCAUUCCACGGUUUCUGUGUCGCAGCUAACGCAUUAAGUUCCCCGCCUGGGGAGUACGGCCGCAAGGCUAAAACUCAAAGGAAUUGACGGGGGCCCGCACAAGCGGCGGAGCAUGCGGAUUAAUUCGAUGCAACGCGAAGAACCUUACCAAGGCUUGACAUAUACCGGAAACGGCUAGAGAUAGUCGCCCCGCAAGGUCG
rnacentral:rRNA from 5 species